UGGGGAAUAUUGCACAAUGGGCGCAAGCCUGAUGCAGCAACGCCGCGUGAACGAUGAAGGUCUUCGGAUCGUAAAGUUCUGUUGCAGGGGAAGAUAACGACGGUACCAUGUGAGGAAGCCCCGGCUAACUACGUGCCAGCAGCCGCGGUAAUACGUAGGGGGCUAGCGUUAUCCGGAUUUACUGGGCGUAAAGGGUGCGUAGGUGGUCUUUCAAGUCGGUGGUUAAAGGCUACGGCUCAACCGUAGUUAGCCUCCGAAACUGGAAGACUUGAGUGCAGGAGAGGAAAGUGGAAUUCCCAGUGUAGCGGUGAAAUGCGUAGAUAUUGGGAGGAACACCAGUAGCGAAGGCGGCUUUCUGGACUGCAACUGACACUGAGGCACGAAAGCGUGGGUAGCAAACAGG
rnacentral:rRNA from 1 species